UUUUUACAGCUUUAUUUUAUAGUUGGGCAAAGCUUGAAAGUUGCAGAGGAAUAAGCAAUUUUCUUAAGAAAGAUGAGUUUUAAUUGAAAAAGACAACAGGACAUGGUGGAAAUGGAAUAUGCAUGUCUGAUGGACAAUCAAUCUCCAAGAUGUGGAAACAGCAGCUGCACUCAACAGAACUUGGUGAAAACAACUGGAGAAGCAGGGUUGAUGGACAUUGAUUUUCCAAGAUUUGGAAACAGCAGCUGCCCUCAACCGGACAUUGUGGAAAUAACUGCAGGAGGCAUGGCUGAUAGAUGUUGAUCUUCCAAGAUGUGGAAACAGCAGCUGCAGCCAACAGGACUUGGUGGAAACAAUUGGAGGAGACAUGCCUGAUGGAUGUUAACCUCCCCCCCCCCCCCCCCCCCACAAGACAUUUAACAGUAGAUAACUGACACUGAUCAGUUAUUAAAGAGAUUGAAAAAGGCACUUAAAGAAUUAUCUGGCAGCUUGAAAGGAGCCCUGGAAGCAUGGAUGAUAUUUUCUACAGGAUAAUGGAUAUUGACUCUGAAAGCGUGCAGAUGAAGACAACAAGACAUGGUGGAAACAACUGUAGGAGGCAAA